rnacentral:rRNA from 1 species
AAACUUUCAGCGACGGAUGU